rnacentral:pre_miRNA from 11 species
AACCGCACGGAAAAGUCCAUUUUCCCGUGCGGUCGGGUUAAGUGGACCGUACGGGAUAAUCGAUUAUCCCUUGCGGUC